rnacentral:rRNA from 1 species
UACAGAGGUCUCAAGCGUUGUUCGGAUUCAUUGGGCGUAAAGGGUGCGUAGGUGGCGCGGUAAGUCGGGUGUGAAAUUUCGGAGCUUAACUCCGAAACUGCAUUCGAUACUGCCGUGCUUGAGGACUGGAGAGGAGACUGGAAUUUACGGUGUAGCAGUGAAAUGCGUAGAGAUCGAUAAGGAAGACCAGUGGCGAAGGCGACAUCCUGGACCAACACUGACGCUGAGGAGCGAAAGCCAGGGGAGCAAACGGG